rnacentral:rRNA from 1 species
GUGAGGAAUAUUGGUCAAUGGGCGAGAGCCUGAACCAGCCAAGUCGCGUGAAGGAAGAAGGAUCUAUGGUUCGUAAACUUCUUUUGCAGGGGAAUAAAGUGCAGGACGUGUCCUGUUUUGUAUGUACCCUGAGAAUAAGGAUCGGCUAACUCCGUGCCAGCAGCCGCGGUAAUACGGAGGAUCCGAGCGUUAUCCGGAUUUAUUGGGUUUAAAGGGCGCGUAGGUGGUUUGAUAAGUCAGCGGUGAAAGUUUGCAGCUUAACUGUAAAAAUGCCGUUGAAACUGUCGGACUUGAGUGUAAAUGGGGUAGGCAGAAUGCGUGGUGUAGCGGUGAAAUGCAUAGAUAUCACGCAGAACUCCGAUUGCGAAAGCAGCUUACUAAGCUACAACUGACACUGAAGCACGAAAGCGUGGCGAUCAAACAGGAUUAGAAACCCUGGUAGUCC